rnacentral:rRNA from 1 species
GACGAACGCUGGCGGCGUGCUUAACACAUGCAAGUCGAACGGAAAGGCCCUGCUUUUGUGGGAUGCUCGAGUGGCGAACGGGUGAGUAACACGUGAGUAACCUGCCCUUGACUAUGGGAUAACUUCAGGAAACUGGGGCUAAUACCGGAUAGGAGCUCCUGCUGCAUGGUGGGGGUUGGAAAGUUUCGGCGGUUGGGGAUGGACUCGCGGCUUAUCAGCUUGUUGGUGGGGUAGUGGCUUACCAAGGCUUUGACGGGUAGCCGGCCUGAGAGGGUGACCGGCCACAUUGGGACUGAGAUACGGCCCAGACUCCUACGGGAGGCAGCAGUGGGGAAUAUUGCACAAUGGGCGGAAGCCUGAUGCAGCAACGCCGCGUGCGGGAUGACGGCCUUCGGGUUGUAAACCGCUUUCGCCUGUGACGAAGCGUGAGUGACGGUAAUGGGUAAAGAAGCACCGGCUAACUACGUG